CCUACGGGCGACAGCAGUGAGGAAUAUUGGUCAAUGGACGAGAGUCUGAACCAGCCAAGUAGCGUGAAGGAUGACUGUCCUAUGGGUUGUAAACUUCUUUUAUAUGGGAAUAAAAUGUUCCACGUGUGGGCUUUUGUAUGUACCAUAUGAAUAAGGAUCGGCUAACUCCGUGCCAGCAGCCGCGGUAAUACGGAGGAUACGAGCGUUAUCCGGAUUUAUUGGGUUUAAAGGGAGCGUAGGUGGAUUGUUAAGUCAGUUGUGAAAGUUUGCGGCUCAACCGUAAAAUUGCAGUUGAAACUGGCAGUCUUGAGUACAGUAGAGGUGGGCGGAAUGCGUGGUGGAGCGGUGAAAUGCUUAGAUAUCACGCAGAACUCCGAUUGCGAAGGCAGCUCACUGGACUGCAACUGACACUGAGGCUCGAAAGUGUGGGUAUCAAACAGGAUUAGAUACCCGAGUAGUC
rnacentral:rRNA from 1 species